rnacentral:rRNA from 1 species
CGCCAGACUCCUACGGGAGGCAGCAGUGGGGGAUAUUGCACAAUGGGGGCAACCCUGAUGCAGCGACGCCGCGUGAGCGAUGGAGUACUUCGGUAUGUAAAGCUCUGUCAGCAGGGAAGAGAAUGACGGUACCUGACCAAGAAGCCCCGGCUAAAUACGUGCCAGCAGCCGCGGUAAUACGUAGGGGGCGAGCGUUAUCCGGAUUCACUGGGUGUAAAGGGAGCGUAGACGGCCAAGCAAGCCAGGGGUGAAAGCCCGGGGCCCAACCCCGGGACUGCCCUUGGAACUGCUUGGCUGGAGUGCGGGAGGGGCAGGCGGAAUUCCUGGUGUAGCGGUGAAAUGCGUAGAUAUCAGGAGGAACACCGGCGGCGAAGGCGGCCUGCUGGACCGCUACUGACGUUGAGGCUCGAAAGCGUGGGGAGCGAACAGGAUUAGAUACCCUCGUACA